rnacentral:lncRNA from 1 species
CGUUUCUCUCUUGGUUGUGAGGUGAUGCCACCAUUCAGGCAUCACAGCAGAAGCAUUAUGUCCAAAGAAGAGGAGAGGCCUUCCUCUUGUUUAUUAGUGAGAAACCUUUCUCAGGAGGCCCCAGCAGACUUCACCUCUCAGCUCCCAUUUGCCAGAUUGGAUCUCAUGCUGCAAGGGAGCCUGGGAAAGCAAGUGAGACAUCAGAUGAGGCCUGCAAAGAAACACAAGACUGGUUCUGGAGACAUUUCCAACUGAGGGGAAGUCAGAAAGGCCUGGCAGCCCUGGGAACCCAUUCUUUGCUUAUGCCAAGAAAUUGAGUUAGCCUGCUCAGCUUGAGAAAACACUAGAACUUCUGGCAACUGCUCUAAGUGGAUUCUCUCACUCCUCUGAGCUUUGCUCAUAGCCACUGAAUGCAUUAUGUCACAAAGCUAGUUAUAAAAGAUCUUGAGAGCCAAGGGAAGGCUGAUUCAUCUGAUAGGCUAAUUCUGGAGCCUACCUUGAGCCUGGCUUGUGGUAUACUUCCAGGAGGCUUGGCUGAGAAGUUAAAGAAUAAAACAAAACCCGUCAAUAAGAUGAAACCCACCCUUAGCUGUAGAAAUUACAAUUACCUCAGGUUUGCUGGCUGUGAAAGUUUAGAUUUUACUGGAUAUAUUUAUUUUCAGUCUCAGUUUCUUUUCAGGCUUUAGACUAUCGUUCGGUGUGAUUUUUAUGGUUACUUGAAGGGAAGAGGGACCUCCUUUUUUGCCGUAAGAAGUGCUUUAUUUUAUUUGGAAAGUGGGAUCUACUAAUGAAACGUUGGUUGUCCCCCGUGGCUUUAGGGUGAUUUUGGCUUUACCCUAUGACUUUUUUGAGAACUCAGGGCAAUCCCUGACCUUCUCAGUUAACCACAUUUAUAAAAUGGAUGAUGAUAACAGGAAUUUAAACUGGAGGAGGACCGUAGAGAUCAUCUGUUAUAACAGUUCUCAGACUUUUCUUUCUCCAGGACACAUGUAAUGGAUGUUUAGUUUGGGACCUCCCAAAAGCAGACUCAGGGACAAGAAGUUGGGUGCUGGGAAGUGAUGCCAGGAAGCAGCAGCGAGAGAGGGAGAGGUAGAGAGGGAAGGAGGAAGACAAUAAAAGGUGUGCUAAUGGGCUGGCUGCCACCAAGGCCACCUGGGGCUCAGCCAUGUUGGGGACCACUUGACUAUGCCUCAGAAGUGUCCUGCCAAGGGACAGCAAGUCAGGGUAUUUAUCUGCUGACUCUGUCUCUUAUUGGUUGAGGGUUGCCCCUGAGAGCUGAGCUACUUCCCACACCCCAGAGAAAGCCCUCACGUGGAGAAACAGACAGACCUGGGCCCCUGAGGUGGGAGCUGUCAGCAGUUGUAGGAACUGUCCUCUCCAGUUGUAGGCGAGCUCAGACAUGGGUGAGGGCAGCAGUAGUGUCUGCCUCAGUGGGUAACUUAAAGUGACAUAACAGACUUCUGUGGGGGUACCCAUGGUUAUUGUGGUGGUUUUAAAGUCUCAUCUGCAAAUUCUUGACACACCUCCCAUUAAGAGGUGGGGAUCUAUGGCUUCUUUCCCUUGAAUCUAGGCAGGCUUGUGACUGCUUUGAUCAAGAGAUUAUGGUAAAAGUGACCUAUAUGACUUCCAAAGUUAGGUCAUAAAAAGCCAUGCAACUUCCACCGUGGCUGCUGGGACACUUGCAUUUGGAACUUUGAUCUGUUAUGUAAGAAGCCCAGUGACCCUGAGACUGCCAUGGUGGAGUGGCUGUGUGGAGGCUUUCUGGUCAACAGCCGCAGCUGAACUCACAACCAAUGGCUCGCAUCAGCUGCCAGCCAUGGGAGUGAACCAUCUUGGAUGUCUAGCUCCGUUGAACCUUCAGAUUUUUGCAGCCUCAGCCAGCAUCUGACUGCAACCUCUCGUGUGCCCCUCGUUCCUAAGACUGAUUUGAAACCUACAUCUUGCAGAAGUUGAUAAUAAAUCCUUCUUUUGUCAAUGAGAAUAAAAAUUUUGAGAUGAAAAAUGGUCAGUCUGAUGGUUUUCCCUGACUCUGGGUGAGUCAUAAACACUGCACGGCUGGACUUCAGAAAUUGACUGCUAAAAUGGCCCUAAGGAAGAUUUAACUGAGAAGUGAUCAAUUCAGCAACUGCAAAUAGAUAAAGCUUCAUCACAGAUUCUGAAGUGUUUAGACUUCAACGUUCUUCAGGAUUCCUGAAGCGCAACUUCGCACCUUCUGUUUGCAGAGCCCUGUCAACAAUGCUGGGACACUGGUUUGUGAUGUGUUUUGUUCAAAGACUAAUUGAGGUGUUAGGCACAGCUUAAAAGCAGGAAGUACCAAUGGAGAAAGAAAAGGAACAAAAACAAUCAGGGAACUCUGGAAAGCUUACGCACCGUCAAGGCAAAUGGACUCUGCUCACAAUGGACUCUCAAUGCUUGGUGAAAUAGGCAGACAAACACUUAAGAGAAACUCAGAAUCACUUGCAAGGGAGAACAACGGUACUUGCCUUGUAGGGUUGUCAUGAGGACUGAAGAUAAUUCCCUUCAAGUGUUUAGUACCAGACCUGGAAGAUUGUAAAUAAACUCUGAG